GGGGAGCUUGCACAGGUGCUGCAUGGCUGUCGUCAGCUCGUGUCGUGAGAUGUCGGUUAAGUCCGCUAACGAGCGCAACCCUCGCUGUGUGUUAUAUGUGUCACACGGGACUGCCGGUCUUAAGCCGGAGGAAGGUGGGGAUGAUGUCAAGUCAGCAUGGCCUUUAUAUCCUGGGCUACACACACGCUACAAUGGCCAACACAAUAGGUUGCCAAGCCGCGAGGUGGCGCCAAUCCAUAAAGUUGGUCUCAGUUCAGAUUGUAGGCUGCAACCCGCCUGCAUGAAGAUGGAGUUGCUAGUAACCGCAGGUCAGCUAUACUGCGGUGAAUACGUUCCCGGGGCUU
rnacentral:rRNA from 1 species